UGGAUAGCUCAGUUGGCAGAGCAUGAGACUCUUAACCUCAGGGUCGUGGCUUCAAGCCUCACACUGAACAA